rnacentral:rRNA from 1 species
UACGGGGGGAGCAAGCGUUGUUCGGAUUUACUGGGCGUAAAGGGCGCGUAGGCGGCCACCGCAAGUCGGUUGUGAAAUCUCUGGGCUUAACCCAGAAAGGUCAACCGAUACUGCCGGGGGCUAGAGUGCAGAAGGGGCAACUGGAAUUCUCGGUGGUAGCGGUGAAAUGCGUAGAUAUCGAGAGGAACACCUGCGGCGAAGGCGGCCUCUGGACAGUGACUGACGCUGAGACGCGAAAGCGUGGGGAGCAAACAGG